CUUAGUCGUUGCAUAAAGAAAAUAUUUCACCAAGAUUACAUAUGAAGAGUACAUUCUAUGACAGGUGCGUUGACCUAUACACAUCGUGUCGUUAUUACAGUUUAUAUUCAUCUGCUGCACAGUAAUGUUUCACAGAUCGGACGUGACCCG